rnacentral:lncRNA from 13 species
CUUGGGUGUGCCUGCUUUGAGCUGCUCUUCUCUGACAGUUCACUCACCCCAUUUCUUGCCACCCAUCUCUGCUCCUCUCUUCCCUUGUCAUUUUGGGCUGAGUCACUCCCAGGUUAUGCCAUGCCCAGUACAAUCCCUUUGGAUCCUCAGAGAGGAUGCCCAUGGUCUGCAGUGUGAGCACAGUCUUGAUGUUGGAGGACAGGAGACGGGGACCAAGAGAACACCAACCCUACUGCAGAGAUUCCCACUGAGAACACAGCUAAUGCCCACUGCUUUCCAGGCUAACUUCAUGGAAGCACACCAAAGCCAGGGCUUCAGCAGUGUUUCUAGUCCAGUUGGGUUUCCCUGGGUUAUUCAUUAUUUUGAGAGGAAAAUAAAUCCUUUGGCCUGUGAAAAUGCUGUGAUGACUCUCAGCAGAGCUGUUCAUUCAUGGUCAAAUGGGAUAUUUUAAGUAAGGGGGGAAGUGUUUGUCUUUUCUUCAAGUACACCACAAACUCUUUGUCUGUGUCAGGAGUGCAGAAUUAAAUCCUAAUUAGAGGCUGUAAAAACGCAGUGAAUCUGAGAUGCCAGGAACAGAUACAUAUUAUCGUCCCUUUCAUAGAUCAUAUGAGCACUCUGGUGACAUAAUAAAUAAUCCACCCCAAGUUUUUAAAGGUAAAAACCAGCAAAUCAUUAAUAAUGUCUCUGGCACCAUAUAUCAAACUGAAGCCUUCCUCUUACAGCUGAUCCCCAGCUAUUCCCAGCUGCCUUUUGGCAUUGCUGCUUCCUCCCUUUGCACUGCUCAUUCUUCCCAUCUUUUCUGCUGCAGUAUUCCUCUGCUUUGUCCACCUGUGUUUAUUUCUGCUGUUCACUGAAGAUCUGCAGGUAUGAAUAAGGCAAGAAAACACACAUCUCACUCUUUAAACCCAACCUCAGGAGGUUUAAAACUUGCCUGGACAAGAAAAGACAGGCAGAAACUAUUUUUCAGGGUAGAGAGAGGCACUGGAUGAUGAUGUGGUAGUUUCACUUAUUUCUGGCGCUCCUGAUCUAUUUACACUGCUGUCUGUAGUUGUGGAGCACUUCGUGUCAAUUUUGCUGUCUUGUCACCCUCUCUUUUUUGAUCUUUUAAAAUUUUUCUGUAAUCCACUUAACCCAUUUCACUGUCUCAGUCUGGCUCUCAUUUCUGAAGGGCUGGGAUACAAUCUGCCAUUACUCGUUCAUGCUUGGUGUACUGAGU